UACGGAGGGAGCUAGCGUUGUUCGGAAUUACUGGGCGUAAAGCGCACGUAGGCGGCUUUUUAAGUCAGGGGUGAAAUCCCGGGGCUCAACCCCGGAACUGCCCUUGAAACUGGAAAGCUAGAAUCCUGGAGAGGCGAGUGGAAUUCCGAGUGUAGAGGUGAAAUUCGUAGAUAUUCGGAAGAACACCAGUGGCGAAGGCGACUCGCUGGACAGGUAUUGACGCUGAGGUGCGAAAGCGUGGGGAGCAAACAGG
rnacentral:rRNA from 1 species